GGAUGCGAUCAUGUCAUCACUAACGUAUCAAAUUUUAUAAGAAUUUUGAAAAUAAGCGUUGUGGGGCAAGAGUAGUAUUAGAAUGGGUGAUCUCCUAGGAACUCCUCAUUUUGCAUUCC
rnacentral:rRNA from 1 species